GAAAUGUGAUUGCAGCAGCUGUCCCAUCGCGUCCUCCUGUAGUGACUGUUCCAAGUGCCGCACAGCCUGGUUUAGGUGUUUCUGCUUCACAGCCAUCUCCUGUUGUUUCUGCUUCACAGCCAUCUCCUGUUGUUUCUGCUUCACAGCCAUCACCUGUUGUUUCUGCUUCACAGCCAUCUCGCUCUGCUUACCAAUCGUCUCUUGCUGCUGAGAUUAAUUCACGAAUCAGGGAUCACAUUCGUAACAUGCAAGGAGAAAGCCAGG
rnacentral:lncRNA from 1 species